rnacentral:rRNA from 1 species
CCUACGGGAGGCAGCAGUGAGGAAUAUUGGUCAAUGGACGAGAGUCUGAACCAACCAAGUAGCGUGAAGGAUGACUGCCUUAUGGGUUGUAAACUUCUUUUAUAUGGGAAUAAAAUGUUCCACGUGUGGGAUUUUGUAUGUACCAUAUGAAUAAGGAUCGGCUAACUCCGUGCCAGCAGCCGCGGUAAUACGGAGGAUCCGAGCGUUAUCCGGAUUUAUUGGGUUUAAAGGGAGCGUAGGUGGAUUGUUAAGUCAGUUGUGAAAGUUUGCGGCUCAACCGUAAAAUUGCAGUUGAAACUGGCAGUCUUGAGUACAGUAGAGGUGGGCGGAAUUCGUGGUGUAGCGGUGAAAUGCUUAGAUAUCACGAAGAACUCCGAUUGCGAAGGCAGUUCACUGGACUGCAACUGACACUGAGGCUCGAAAGUGUGGGUAUCAAACAGGAUUAGAUACCCUAGUAGUC